UGUCGCUGAAAAUCUCUGGCCCCUUCUGGUAGUGUGAACAGGUAAGGGACCGUCAAGUGGGCGUGGCCUAGUGGGCGUGGUGGCUUCGACUUCUUCAGGUGAUGCCUUCUGUGGUGGAGCCGCUUUCAAUAAGGUCUUGCUCCCCUAGUGGCUAUGUAUAGUAUUUACGGCUUAUAUGUUUGGUCAUGCUUCAUUGGGUCUAUGUGUGGGUAGCUUAGAUUCUUAAAAUACGUAACAGCGCUCAUAUGACGUUAAGCAUUUCCUGGCGCAUAAUGUGACACUUCAGAACCUAAAACCCUGUUUCUCUCCGUUGACACGACAACACGUAACCGGCGUUUUCAGAAAUCUCCACUUCGGCCGGAGUUUUUAGAAAUUAUCGUUUUCUGUGAUAAAUGACAGCGUUUUCGUGUAAAUGAGAGGCCAAACCGCGUGGAAAUAUCUGCGUUUUCCCUUUGUGUAAACGGGGCCUAAGAGAGCACAACUAUGGAAGGGAAAAGGGCAAUUCACUGCCCAAAUCAGUGUGUCACUGAUUGUGUUGCACUUGGCAAAAAUCACAGUAAAAUAUAGACAAGAGUUUUUUCGUUUACAAACGUGUCCUUCUAAUUGCAUUGAAUCCAGCCUUACACAUUUGUUUUUUUAUUAUUAUUGUUCUUGUUUAAAUGUUUAGCUGUCAUUCGUUUACAAACAUGUCCUUCAAAUUGCAUUGAAUGCAGCCUUAUACAAAUAUUUUUAUUUUUAUUAUUGUUCUUGUUUAAAUGUAUAGCUGUCAUUCGUUUACAAACGUGUCCUUAUAAUUGCAUUGAAUGCAGCCUUAUACAUUUGAAUACAUUUUGUUACUUUUGUUCAAUGUUUGUUGUCUCCCAUUUGAUCCGCCGUAAUGACAUUUUUUCCACAUAGCAAUAGAUUUACUAGUGAAACUGUAUGAUUUCUGAUAUUUGUUCAUAGUGGUUCUGCCACACCCC
ensembl:lncRNA